rnacentral:tRNA from 1 species
GCCUUCGCUAGGCGACGGUCCACCCAUCAAGCAUUCAAGUUGUUCGAUGAGUGGCGCUGCGGGUUCGAAUCCCGCCGGAGGCA